UCUUUAAACAAAGGGAGUUAUAGCAUAUAACGUAGUAUUUUUCAAACAAAAACAAUAACAACGUCAUCGUAGAUUCCUUGAGGGAAACAAUUGACGAAAAAAAGCAAAUGAAAAAGCGUCGGUAAAUCAAGAAAUGUUUCAAGUGUGCGAUCUAUGAGCAGUGGAGAUGCUUGGCUCCACGUGCUUUUGUUGGAAUUCAAUUACAUUCGAUCAAUCCUUUUCAAAUCACCCUCAAAUCUUUUCUCUUCCUUCAUCCCUCCCUCAAUGGCCUCAAGCAGGACAAGGUUUUGCAUCAGGAGUUGUGAAUCUUGGUGAAAUAGAAGUUUUCAAGGUCACACGGUUUGAUUUUAUUUGGAGUAGUGCUACACUAGACUCAAAAAAAGCUGUUAUAUUCUAUAAGCCUGUGGGAGUACCUGACAGUUUCCAUAUCCUUGGUCACUAUUGUCAAACAAGUGACAAGCCUUUACGGGGUUUUGUACUUGUCGCAAAGGAAACGCGAACUUGCAUGUCCGAAACUAUUGAGGAAAAGUUACCUCCUCUGAGGAAUCCUCUUGAUUUUAAGUUAGUUUGGAGUUCGAAUGAGCCUGACAGUCUUGAAAUUUCGAGUGGAUGUGGUUACUUCUGGCUACCCGAACCUCCUGAAGGUUACAAGGCUGUUGGCUACUUUGUUACGAACAAACCCAGCAAGCCUGAGUUGGAUGAAAUGUGCUGUGUUCGUGCCGAUCUAACUGAUAAAUAUGAACGUUAUCGUGUGAUAUUUGAUGUUAGUUCUAGAAAUCCUGAGUUUUCAUUUCAGGUAUGGAGCUUGAGACCUUGUGACCGUGGUAUGCUAGGGAAAGGUGUUUCUGUUGGGACUUUUCUCUGCAGUAGCGGUUUGAGCAAUGGAGAAGAGCACCAUCUUGCAUGCUUGAAGAAUCUGAAUCCCGCGCUACCAUCAAUGCCUAAUUUGCAACAAAUUCAUGCACUUAUUGAGCAUUAUGGUCCUACUCUUUUCUUUCAUCCUGAAGAAAUUUACUUGCCUUCUUCUGUUGAUUGGUGUUUCAACAAUGGAGCUCUUUUGUACCGAAAGGGUGUGUCUGCAGGAGAGGGAAUAGAUGCAGCCGGCUCAAAUUUACCUUGUGGAGGGUCAAAUGAUGGCCAAUUUUGGAUAGACCUGCCCAGUGAUGAUCGGAGGGAUUUCGUCAAACGCGGGAACUUAAAAAGUGCAAAGCUUUAUAUUCAUGUGAAACCAGCUCUUGGUGGGACUUUUACAGACAUUGCAAUGUGGAUAUUUUGUCCCUUCAAUGGGCCAGCCACUUUGAAAAUUGGACUUAAGAAUAUACCUUUGAGCAAGAUUGGCGAGCAUGUUGGUGAUUGGGAGCAUUUCACGCUUCGCAUAUGCAACUUCGCCGGAGAGCUCUAUAGUAUAUACUUCUCGCAGCACAGUGGCGGCGAAUGGGUGGACGCGUGUGACUUGGAUUAUAUUGAUGGCAAUAAAGCUAUUGUUUACUCGUCAAAAAGCGGACAUGCAAGUUACCCUCGUCCUGGAACAUAUAUCCAAGGGUCUUCAAAACUAGGGCUUGGCAUUAGGAACGAUACUGUUCGUAGUAAUUUUUACGUGGAUUCAAGUAUCCAUUAUGAGAUUUUUGCGGCUGAAUAUCUCGGAAAUGCUGUCGCUGAACCUAAUUGGUUGCAGUUUAUGAGAGAGUGGGGUCCCAAAAUUGUUUAUGAUUCAAAAACUGAGUUGGAUAAGAUUAUCAACGCGCUUCCUCACAUGCUUCAGUCUUCAAUGAGAAACUUGUUUAACAAGCUUCCAUUGGAGCUGUAUGGCGAGGAAGGUCCUACCGGGCCAAAAGAGAAAAAUAAUUGGAUACAAGAUGAGAGAUGGUAGAUCUGAUGAUUUGUGCACUAAUUAUGGAAUAGUUGCAAAUCUCUCACCACAAUCGGAUUGAAAUGAAUGAGAAUUCUUACACUCAUUGCCUCUGUUUGGCAUUCGACAUGUUUUGCAGAUCCAAACUUAUUUAGCAUGAGACUUUAAAGGAACAAUGCGGUAAUGCUAGCAUGGAAUCAUGUCAAAGAAUUGUAUACCCGAUACGUGUUAGAAAUGUAUUAAGGGCCCGCGCAGUUUCUUCUGUGUAUUCUGCAAAAGCCAAAAGCAACUCAAGGCAUGGAGCAUCUCACAGUUCUAUUAUUUCCUCAACAAGUCGGGCAUUUAGAAUUUUGAUGCACCAACUUGAGGCAUGGACCUAUAAACAUUUUUCCAGUAUUGGCGGGCAGGAGUAUGAGCUUGAGUACACGGAGAUAGAGCCUCGUGCUAACUAUUCAUUCCCACUAAAUGACAUCCUCUUACAAAAUUGUAUCGAGAGCGUAUGGAUCGGCUACUAACACAAGAUGUGUGGUUCGGCUCUUACGACACUCGCUGUGCCACAAGUCUGUUGAACGACAUAUGCUUUUGUUCUAGUUUGAUCAUAUGCAGAUUGUGUAUGGUCUGAUAUUAUCCCGAGUGAGUCUUGCAUCAGUUUGCAUACGUGCAUGGUAUUCCUUAACAUCUUGUCGUCUCUUGUGGGCCUACAAUCACUCGAGAACGGUUUGAUCAGAUGUGUACUAAGUAUCGGGAUCAUGUGGUGUCUAUAGAGGAUCGAGGCGCCCAUAUCAUAUAAGAUUGUGAUACUGAGACGGGAUACACGAGGUGGUAUAUUCAGAUAUCACAUCUCUACCUGCUUCCGACACUAGAAGGAUAAUUGUUGGUACAAACUGAGGAGGAAAUACUUGCAGAGGAUGUAAUAGUAGACGAGGGUGGCAGUGCACAUAGUCUGGUCCGUGCAUGUGCGCGUAUCCGAAACUUCUCAUCAGAAAUACUAUCUAAUAAGAUUGUACAGAAAAGCACUAAUGUGCACGCCAUUGUUCAUGAGAUUGUGAAGGAAGCUAAGAAUGCCUUUUAAGUGAAGAGGUUGAGGAGGAAAAGGAUGUAUUUUGUUUAAGAUUUGUAGGUAUUAUAUAUUAUGUAUUUUGGUUAUGGUUAUGGUUAUUUUUUGUUUUA